rnacentral:tRNA from 1 species
AAUCUUAUAGUUUAAAAACGUUAAAUUGCAAAUUUAAAAUUGAGUUAAAAUUACUCUAAGAUUU